rnacentral:lncRNA from 10 species
GUGUCGUUUCCACCGCGGCACCCUUUUCCGACAUUAGAAACAAUAGUACUUCCUAGCAUGGGCUGUUGUGCUGGAGAGAACGAGAGCUACGAAGAGACUACAGUGCCUCUGACUUUUUCAUAGGACAGUUGGCCGAGGAAGACAAACAUAAAGAUGAAGUGCUUAAUUCAAGGUCACACAAUGUCGGGGAUGGACCUCCAGAUUUCCUUACUGGAAAACAAGCUCAGGGCUCCCACUGAUUGUACAUUAUGGUGAGACGUGGUCUUGUAACACAGUGGUUAAGAAUGUGACUUUGGAGCCAGCCUGCUAGGGGCUGAAUUCUGACUCAGCCAUUUACUAACUGUGUGACCUUAGGUCACAGAAUUUUCCACACUCCUUGACAGAGGUGCUUAACCCUUAUCCAUCAGCAUUCUCAGACAGCACCUCCGGUUAGGGACAGUAUCUGACCGUCCGACAUCCCUGCAGCCCCCAUGUGUCACACAGACUCAGCCUCAGGUAGAUGGUUUCCGUAGAUGGUGGCUUUCUUUGGACCCUUGACAUCAACCAGUUACUAUUUGGUCUAGGGGUCUCACCAACGCUGCUCAUCUAGCAGGGCCACACAUAACAAAUAGAAGCAGAGCAAGCCCUGGAACUCCUGCCUGACAGUGACACGACGACAGAAACAUCUUACCAGUCAGAGGACCAUGAGAAAUAGAUUCAAGGAGCAUUCCACGUGCAAGUGAGUCUUGGCCCCAUCUGCCUUUGGAUUUUAGCCGUGAACUGGAAGGUAUUGGAAAGAAGACCCUCAGAAAUAGCUUAAUCAAAAUCCCUGCGUCUGAACCAAGUGCCUUAUUUCUCUGUGGGCCUCAAGCUUCGCUGACAUCUGUGGAGCACACUGUCCUAACAGGAGUGCUGUCUGAUUUCCCAACGCUCUGCAAAACAAACAGCCUGGAAGGGUGGCUGGUGGAAGGUGGUUUUUAGAGAGAGACUUGUAGAUAACAGGAAAGUGAAGGCUGUAAGGAAGGUUGUAAUUAAACAGCACAUGGAAACACAAUCACAUUAUUGUCCCAUUCCAUAGGGAUAAUGAUGACCACUUCAGUGGGAAAAGGAGAGG